CUAUAAAUUCGAUGCUUAUAACUGUCUUUUUGGUGGUUAUUUUGUUUUCUUUGUUGUUUGUGUAACAGAUAUGUCACCUAAAGAGACUCAGGAUGCAAGCCCAACCAAAGCACAGAGAGUUCUUGAGGUCCACUCCAAAAUUACCAGCUGCCCUCCCCCUGGCAGCUGUAACCAUAGUAGUCAUCCAUCCCAGCUCUAGUUUGUUUAAGACUUCUUCAUUUCUCCCAGACCAGCAUUCAACUUCCUGCACAGAGGUAAAUGAUGUGACGUGA
rnacentral:lncRNA from 1 species